GUAACAGCACAAAACAUGGUACAAACAUUAUUGGGCACAGACAACAGCACAAAGGGCAAGAUGGCAGAGACAACAAUACAUCACGCAAAGCAGCCACAACUGUCAGUGGUGUGUCCAGUGGUCAGUAAGGCAGCCAUAGGAUGCUACAACACUGAGACUUCGCCCCUGGACACUGAUCCGGUCUACGAAAAGUCAACCAGAGACUGGAGGGCUGUGGGGAGGCUGAGGAGGGCAGGCAAUGAUGCCGUUCUCAAGGAGAUGUCAUUUAUGUAGGAAGGGGGAGGUUGUUGUAUAUUUCAUGGAGAAUAACAUACAGUUUUGUGACAAUUUCAUGUAUUUUUUUAAUUCAACCUUUUUUAUCUAGACAAGUCAGUUAAGAACAAAUUCUUAUUUACAAUGACGGCCUAACCCGGCCAAACCUGGACAACACUGGGCCAAUUGUGCGCCACCCGAUGGGACUCCCAAUCACGGCCGGAUGUGAUACAGCCUGGAUUCGAACCAGGGACUGUAGUGACGCCUCUUGCACUGAGAUGCAGUGCCUUAGACCGCUGCCCCACUUGGGAGCCCUGGAUAAGCUCCUGUAGUUGUAUUUAAUAGGCCAUAUAUGUAAUAGGCUCUAUGUAAUAGGUAAUACCUCAUGUAUCAAUGACUUUGAAGUCUGCCAUGCAGCCAGGGUCUUUGUGCCAAUUUCAGAAUGUGGUAUGUGAAUGUUUUUUUCAUACGAGUGUCUUUAUGUAUUUGCACCUUGUAAUUAGCCAUUAUGUGCAUGCUAUGUCCUGACCAGUUGAAGAAUAAAGACUUUCUGAUGAA